rnacentral:rRNA from 1 species
GGUUAAGCGACUAAGCGUACACGGUGGAUGCCCUGGCAGUCAGAGGCGAUGAAGGACGUGCUAAUCUGCGAUAAGCGUCGGUAAGGUGAUAUGAACCGUUAUAACCGGCGAUUUCCGAAUGGGGAAACCCAGUGUGAUUCGUCACACUAUCAUUAACUGAAUCCAUAGGUUAAUGAGGCGAACCGGGGGAACUGAAACAUCUAAGUACCCCGAGGAAAAGAAAUCAACCGAGAUUCCCCCAGUAGCGGCGAGCGAACGGGGAGCAGCCCAGAGCCUGAAUCAGUAUGUGUGUUAGUGGAAGCGUCUGGAAAGGCGUGCGAUACAGGGUGACAGCCCCGUACACAAAAAUGCACAUGCUGUGAGCUCGAUGAGUAGGGCGGGACACGUGGUAUCCUGUCUGAAUAUGGGGGGACCAUCCUCCAAGGCUAAAUACUCCUGACUGACCGAUAGUGAACCAGUACCGUGAGGGAAAGGCGAAAAGAACCCCGGCGAGGGGAGUGAAAAAGAACCUGAAACCGUGUACGUACAAGCAGUGGGAGCCUCUUUAAUGGGGUGACUGCGUACCUUUUGUAUAAUGGGUCAGCGACUUAUAUUCUGUAGCAAGGUUAACCGAAUAGGGGAGCCGAAGGGAAACCGAGUCUUAACUGGGCGUUAAGUUGCAGGGUAUAGACCCG